UUACGGCCACAUCACGUUGAAACGCCGGUUCCCGUACAAUCACCGAAGUUAAGCCUUGUCGAGCCUGUUCAAUACCUAGAUGAGUGACCGCUUGGAAAUGCCAGGUGCAGUAAG